AGGCGUGGUGGCGGGCGCCUGUGAUCCCAGCUACUCAGGAGGCUGAGGUGGGAGAAUCGCUUGAACCCAGGAGGCAGAGGUUGCAGUGAGC
rnacentral:miRNA from 1 species